rnacentral:sRNA from 1 species
GUUCCGAGGCGCCGCCGGGAGCUGCCACGUCCGAGACCUGGAGCAGCCACCGCCGCAAUCAUGGUGUCAGUAAUUAACACUGUGGAUACCUCCCAUGAGGACAUGAUUCACGACGCCCAGAUGGACUACUAUGGCACCCGCCUGGCAACCUGCUCAUCAGACAGGUCCGUCAAAAUCUUUGAUGUGCGCAAUGGAGGGCAGAUCCUUAUCGCCGACCUCAGGGGGUAAAGAGACAAAGAUAUCCUUGCCUAAAGUCAAGAGCUAGUGAAUGGGAGAAUGGGUCUGGUCUCCUAACCACUAACUCUACCAUGCUACUCUACCUCUUGAGUGCUAAGGUGCAAAACCUUCCCUGGGCCAGAGAAAUGGUCACCGUACAAAGCCUGGCACAGAGCAUGUGCUCAGAUAGUACCUGUUAUCAGGUGAAUGGAUAAAGAUCAGAAGAGAAGGGAAAGACAUGCCUUUCAAACAAAUUAAAAGAGUAGUGGAAAACAUCAAAGUGAAACCAAUAAUGCCUCCUCAGGAAGCUGACCGUCGGGAAGGAUGAAUAGCAAUUCAGUCUACAAAUAUUUCCUGAACACUUCU